GGCCCGGUGGCGGUUGGUCCGCGUCUGCCCAUUAUUCGGGCACUGGUUUCAGCAUAUACUGCAGGAAACGCUCGCUCGAUUCGAGCCUGGGCCA